GAAUCAACAUAAUAAAACCUUCAUCAAACCCGAUUUAACCUUGAGUCACAAUGAGUAGGUUGUGUGCAAACGAUGUCACUAAGUCAUUCUAAGCCAUAUAAUACAUACAUUGCAUUGACCUACACUAAUGAUAUUCUACACAGGUGCGCAUGUACGUACAAGGUAAACGAAAAGUGAACAUACACGUCGAAUUAUAUUAUAAAUAUAUUUGGAUUAUUUAUUCCAACCACCCAAUAUUCCAAAUUAUAAAACAGGACACAGCACAGUACAAACCAUCAUCCACAUGAGAAUAUACUGGUCCGCAGUGGAACAUGAAUUAAUAAGCUAUGAACAGAUGCGUGACACGACUAUAUAUAUAUAUAUAUAU